rnacentral:rRNA from 1 species
UGGGGAAUAUUGCACAAUGGGGGAAACCCUGAUGCAGCGACGCCGCGUGAGCGAAGAAGGUUUUCGAAUUGUAAAGCUCUGUCCUAUGAGAAGAUAAUGACGGUAUCAUAGGAGGAAGCCCCGGCUAAAUACGUGCCAGCAGCCGCGGUAAUACGUAUGGGGCGAGCGUUGUCCGGAAUUAUUGGGCGUAAAGGGUACGUAGGCGGUCUAUUAAGUCAGGUGUGAAAGCGUGAGGCUUAACCUCAUUAAGCACUUGAAACUGAUAGACUUGAGUGAAGGAGAGGAAAGUGGAAUUCCUAGUGUAGCGGUGAAAUGCGUAGAUAUUAGGAGGAAUACCGGUGGCGAAGGCGACUUUCUGGACUUUUACUGACGCUCAGGUACGAAAGCGUGGGGAGCAAACAGG